UGUCCUAAUCCAAAAACCAAAAUAUGGAGAGAAACGGCUUCAAAGUUUUCAAUUCACUAAGCUUCAUAAUCAACUAGUAUGGAAAAUAUGCCCAAAAACCGUAUAAAUUAUUGUUUAUAAUGAAUACACUGGGACUUAAUUAUGGGCCUCAUUCUUAUCGUUAUGCUGAAAAAAUGGAUGUUGCACGUAUGAAAGUGGCAGAUAAGAGCGCUAACGGUAACACUCGAGAAGGCAAAUCGAUAUUUUGGAAGCUGCUAUGACGGCUGAAGACUAUUGUAUGGCCCAGGAAUAGAUGACACAGUGCUUUGUACGACGGGGUGGCUUAAAUUUUACGAACCCUUAUACGCUGAAAUUGUGGUAUACUGUAUUCGUUCGCAAAUACAAUAAAUUUUUAAUCGACCGGAUCAAACGUGUGCAAAAGGUGUCUCUGAAAUUUUCACUAAGAUUAGUAACAUUUUUUGAUCCUGUCCCAUCCUCGACAUCAGGUUUACUAUUGGUCA